GUAAACUGGAAGAGAAUGGGGAGGCAUAUUGAGAUUACAUUCACCUUUAAGAACACAGCAUCUUUUGUGUCUCUAAUUACUUAAGUCUGUUUUAUUCCUCACUCAAGGAAAGGUUUCAAACAGCGCAAAGGUCUUGAGGCCACAAUCAACAUGGCAUUCUACUUUUUGCACAGCAGGGUUUCCAUUCAAAUCUUUUGCAAGGUUUGGUUGACCCACUUCCAGUAGCCUGAUCGCCUGUUGUCAUGGUGAAGUCAAAGCAUCGUGGGAGAAAAUGGGGGCAAUUUGCCUGGAAACCAGAUUAAAGGACUAUACCAGAUGACACUUUGCUAAAAGAUUUUUUUUUUUCUAUAGAAGGACCACUGGUUUCCCAACACAAAGGAGUAACCUAGGAUUGAGUUUGUUUUUGACUUGAUCUUGCCUCAAUAAUGCUGAUAGAAGUCUCUCAACAAAUACUUGGUUUACUUGUUCAUCCAAGAAAAGGUGUGUACCAAUUAAUUUUUUUAAAAAAAAUAUGUUAAACCCUGACCCUAAUCUAUUUAGCUGGUUGGAUGCCACGAUUGUCAGUUUGUGAAAUUUCUUCCACGACCAACUGUAAGUGGUAUUAUUGUAACUUAGAUGAAGAUUUGACCAUAUCUUAUGACAAAUGUAUACAUAAUUGCAGAUAAUUCCAAACAGGAUCACUUUACUUUUUCUUGAUACUGUUUACCCUUUUUAUUGCACUGUGCAGUAUUCUUAUGAAUGGUUGACUACCAUCAGUAAAAGAGACACUCUUGCUUUUGUUUGUCUUUUCAGUAUUCACUAAAAAAAAAAAUUUAAAAAAAAAUUUGAACAUUCACACCUUAGGUUAAUUACUCAUCAUUGCUCAUUGUUGACAGAACAUAAUAUGCCCAACAGAAACAGAGCCAAGUAAACAACCUGCAGCAGCUGCACAAUGACAUUCUGCAGUCUUGCCAGGAAGUUAAAUACACAAAGGAACAGAGUAACAUUUAGUAUAAAUGACUAUCCUAAUGCCAGGAGAAUGUUACAUGUCUGAAUGCGUUGUGCCAAAUGUAAAGUUUGGUGGAAGAGGGAUAGUGUUAUGGGGUUGUUUUUCUGGGGUUGGCCUAGGCCCCUUAGUUCAAGUGAAGGGAAAUCUUCAAAUCAAUUCUGUGCUUCCAACUCUGGGAACAGUUUAGUUUUAGUCUGUUCCAGCAUGACUGUGUCUCACAAAGUAAGGUUAAUAAAGACAUGGUUGGAUGAGUUUGGUGUGGAAGAACUUGAUUGGCCCACACAGAGCCCUGACUUUAACCUCAUCAAACACCUUUGGGAUGAACUAGAACGGAGAUUGUGAGCCAGGCCCUUUUGAACAUGUGUCUGACCUCACAAAUGCUCUUCUGGUUUAAAGGGCAAAAUUCCCACAGAGACUUUCCAAAAUCUUGUAGAAAGCCUCUCCAGAAGAAUGGAAGCUGUUACAGCUGCACAAACUCCUAUAUUAAAACCUUUGGAUUUAGAAUGGGAUGUAAUGAAAGCUCCUGUAGGUGUAAUGUGUAGGUGGUCCAAUACUUUUGUCCAUUGAGUGUGAUUUGGAACUUAACCUGUAAAAUGAUGAUGUCCUUUUAAAGUUUUAUAUUUUAUAUGUCUUAAACAAAUGAGAUUAGUUGUCAGUUAGCCAACUGCCAGCUCUCGCUGCAUACUUACCGUACAGAUGUGAGAGUUAUGUAAAUCCAACAUCUAACUCUGCAUGAAAGCAAAAUAAAGUAGAUAUUCCCUAAAACUUUGAACUGUUCCUUUAAAUCUUACAACACUUGUUAGUACCUUCGGCUCUUGUGGUAAAUGUCCCGGGGAGGAAUUUGUGCAUGCUGGAUUCCUCCUCAGUGGAGUGUUGUUCUUUGCUGUCACAAAACAUGGCAGAUGGGUGGUGGUGAAAAAGCAUGGUGACAUCAAAUUAGUUCAAAUGAGCCUGGGGGCCAGUUUGGCAUGCCGAGUGCUGAAGCGCACCUCCCCUCCCAUUUGAAAUGGGCCAAUGCAGGAGCAGAGGAGGUUCACACCAUCGGCACACUGGGGGAUGGGAAGGACACCCAAGCAGUCCUUCCAUUUCCAAGAACUGCAGUUGUUGGCGGGGGAAAGGAAAAAAAAAAAACUUUCCUCAUUCACAUUUUUUUCCGGCCCUCCUCUUACUUCUGA